GACAGGCCCUAAGUGAUGAAAACUUGUCAAGGUUCUCUUCUCUUUUUCUAACAGCCAUAAACACCUCCUUGGUGCGGGGGGAGGGAGGAGACUGCGGGAGGGGGGUGUCUGCAGGGAUCACACACCUGUGUGAAACUAAAAGAAAAAUAUCAGUGGGUGCCCAGGGCUUCUCACUACAAACUGCCCAUUAGACCUAUCAGAGUUAUAUCACCGUCACAUGACAGAUCAUGACCCUCCAACUGCACUGAGCAGUCACUCUGUUGGUCUCUGACCUGCUGGGUGGCCCAAGACAAUCCCGGCCCCCUCACAUCCUUCCCUGGACACCAAACGACACGAAGUCAGUUGAUCCCACCUACCCCAGAUUUUCAGGUCUCAAAACUUAGUGGAGUCUGUUCUGCCAUAGAAGGGAGAGAACAGCUCCACUUACUAAAACCAUUCCAUGCCUGCUCCCUUCCCUCUCUGCUCACAUUGUGAAUGCCCCGCCCACGGCUCCGGGUGUUGGGCAGACUCCACCCUGUGCUCUCUGCGUGGCAGACCAAGGCCAGGCCCCAGAAGCCUGGUUUCUGGUCCCAGCACUGCUGACAAGCCGAGCACCCAGGUUCAGUCCUUUCCUCGUGGCCUCAGUUCCCUAAUCUGUGCAAUGACUGAGGAUCUAUGGAACCUGGUAUGUGAAAGCUCUCUUUAAACUAUAAAGAGCUGUACCCACCUGAAUAGGUGAGUGUGCAAUGUGGAGAGGCCUGAGUUAGGGAGUCACUAUUUUAGAGCACGUGGUCACCUGUAGCUGGCAGGAACGGGAUUGCCCCCAGCACAGCCAGAUGGUGAGGAGCUGCUGCAGGAAUGGGAUUGCCCCCAGCACAGUCAGACCGUGAGGAGUUGCUCAACCAGCAUGUGUUUUCCUGGUCAUCAGUGUCUGGGGAGCACUGUCCCCCUGGGUGCCCUGGUGCCUGAAGAAGCCCAAAGGGGUUUCUUCCCUCCCACUAGGCACAGGAGCUGAGCUGGAAUGGCACCCACACAGGCGCAGGGACGUGACAGCAGAAAAGCUUGUCACUGCUCACUGGGCACUGAGCUGGACCCGGCUUGAGCCGGCAGAGAGGUGCUGGCCGGGUGCCGGGGAACAGAUGCCAGCACUGGGCAGCUUCCUGGGCUGGAAAAGCAGUGGAGGCCUCCCCUCUCGCUUGACAAACCAGGGACUCCUGGGGCCCAGGCCCCGGAAGGAGGAACCCCCCAACACUCUAAACAAACGGGCUUUCUUUACAUGUAACCUGGGUCGUUCCUAGGGGUGGAGGAGCCGGAGAAGGAAGCCAAAGGACACUGCCAGACCUGGGACCUAGGGUGUCUAGAAAAACGAAAUCAGACCCUGUAAUCCCACCAGGCCCAGGCAUGCCCCGCCAGGCAGGCCACCCAGCAGCAGUGGGGACAA
rnacentral:lncRNA from 1 species